ACGGAAGGCAGCAGUGGGGAAUAUUGGGCAAUGGGGGAAACCCUGACCCAGCAACGCCGCGUGAAGGAAGAAGGCCUUCGGGUUGUAAACUUCUUUUACCAGGGACGAUAAUGACGGUACCUGGAGAAAAAGCAACGGCUAACUACGUGCCAGCAGCCGCGGUAAUACGUAGGUUGCAAGCGUUGUCCGGAUUUACUGGGUGUAAAGGGCGUGUAGGCGGAGCUGCAAGUCAGAUGUGAAAUCCCGGGGCUCAACCCCGGAACUGCAUUUGAAACUGUAGCCCUUGAGUAUCGGAGAGGCAAGCGGAACUCCUAGUGUAGCGGUGAAAUGCGUAGAUAUUAGGAGGAACACCGGUGGCGAAGGCGGCUUACUGGACUGUAACUGACGUUGAGGCUCGAAAGCGUGGGGAGCAAACAGGAUUAGAUACCCUGGUA
rnacentral:rRNA from 1 species